GACCCUGCGGAAGGAUCAUUAUGUU
rnacentral:rRNA from 1 species